UACGUAGGUGGCAAGCGUUGUCCGGAUUUACUGGGUGUAAAGGGCGUGUAGGCGGGAAAGCAAGUCAGAUGUGAAAACCAUGGGCUCAACCUGUGGCCUGCAUUUGAAACUGUUAUUCUAGAGUAUGGGAGAGGUAGGUGGAAUUCUUGGUGUAGGGGUAAAAUCCGUAGAGAUCAAGAGGAAUACUCAUUGCGAAGGCGACCUGCUAGAACAUAACUGACGCUGAUGCGCGAAAGCGUGGGGAGCAAACAGG
rnacentral:rRNA from 1 species